ACUCCUACGGGAGGCAGCAGUGGGGAAUAUUGGACAAUGGGCGCAACCCUGAUCCAGCCAUGCCGCGUGUGUGAAGAAGGCCUUAGGGUUGUAAAACACUUUCAGCGGGGAAGAUGAUGACGGUACCCGCAGAAGAAGCCCCGGCUAACUCCGUGCCAGCAGCCGCGGUAAUA
rnacentral:rRNA from 1 species